rnacentral:lncRNA from 1 species
AUGGAAAAAGCAAGAGGGUUCCAGAAAAACAUCUAUUUCUGCUUUAUUGACUAUGCCAAAGCCUUUGACUGUGUGGAUCACAAUCAACUGUGGAAAAUUCUGAAAGAGAUGGGAAUACCAGACCACCUGACCUGCCUCUUGAGAAAUCUGUAUGCAGGUCAGGAAGCAGCAGUUAGAACUGGACAUGGAACAACAGACUGGUUCCAAAUGGGAAAAGGAGUCCGUCAAGGCUGUAUAUUGUCACCCUGCUUAUUUAACUUCUGUGCAGAGUACAUCAUGAGAAACGCUGGACUGGAGGAAGCACAAACUGGAAUCAAGAUUGCCAGGAGAGAUAUCAGUCAUCUCAGAUAUGCAGAUGACACCACCCUUGUGGCAGAAAGUGAAGAGGAACUAAAAAGCCUCUUGAUGAAAGUGAAAGUGGAGAGUGAAAAAGAUGGCCUAAUGCUCAACAUUCAGAAAACGAAGAUCAUGGCAUCCGGUCCCAUCACUUCAUGGGAAAUAGAUAGGGAAAUAGUGGAAACAGUGUCAGACUUUAUUUUUGGGGGCUCCAAAAUCACUGCAGAUGGUGACUGCAGCCAUGAAAUUACAAGACGCUUACUCCUUGGAAGAAAAGUUAUGACCAACUUAGAUAGUAUAUUCAAAAGGAGAGACAUUACUUUGCCGACUAGAGUCCAUCUAGUCAAGGCUAUGGUUUUUCCAGUGGUCAUGUAUGGAUGUGAGAGUUGGACUAUGAAGAAGGCUGAGCGCCGAAGAACUGGUGCUUUUGAACUGUGGUGUUGGAGAAGACUCUUGAGGGUCCCUUGGACUGCAAGGAGAUCCAACCAGUCCAUUCUGAAGGAGAUCAGCCCUGGGAUUUCUUUGGAAGGAAUGAUGCUAAAGCUGAAACUCCAGUACUUUGGCCACCUCAUACGAAGAGUUUGCCUCAUUGGAAAAGACUCUGAUGCUGGGAGGGAUUGGUGGCAGGAGGAGAAGGGGACGACAGAGGAUGAGAUGGCUAGAUGGCAUCACUGA